CAGAGUCGCAUCAAGCCGAACAUAAUGUGUUAGAUUACGUUUGCAGUUUUAGAGAGCGUCUUUUCCGGGCAUGUCAGCUGGCCCGUGAAAAUUUGGAACAAACCCAAGGCAACAUGAAAGCCCGGUGCUCCUCCGUGGUUGGUGCAUCCAGGGUGGAUGGCUCGCACCGAUUGGCUGACGACCGGGAGGCAGCGGAUGAGAAGAGACCACCAGGGACUGCCAUUCAUUCAUCCUCGGCCCAACCCAACCGGCAGACCGUUCACUGUGUCACUGUUACUAUGUUGGUUAAUGUAAGAGCAUGUAGGGGUGGACCGCCUUUUUGUUUGAUCAGUUUUCUCCUGUUUCUGUUAGGUAGGGAGGAAAGUGAUUGUCGUUUGGUUUAGUUCUUUUGAGUAGGUAAGUUGUGUUUAUUCCUGAGAUAGGCUAUCUUUUGUUUGUUGUUUUGGCCUUGGGUUCACCCUGAAGUUAUGAUAUGCUCCCUUCCUUUGUUUAACUGCACUCAUUGUAAAUAAAUCACUGUCACAAAAUAUUAAGUGUGUGACGUGCUGCUUGGGGUUGGACGGGGAUGGAUCACCCUUUAUGUUGUGGUCUGGCCGCGCCUAGACGGGCCAUAACACUGAAUCUUUGAGAUGAUUAAACUUAAUCUAAGUCUGGUGUGACUUUUGAGAACAUAAGGGUAAUGGUGUUACUUUGUCUCUGUUAGAGCUCCCCCUGCUGGUCAGGGUGGCAGCAAAAAAAACAUUUUUUGCAAGAGCUUUGUAAACACUGGCAAUCCCACGUCUCCCAAACUGCCUACCACCUCAUUUAUUUCAAGCAUCGGCUUAUUAAUUAUCUCUCUGUUAGUCUCUACAUCCUUCCUAUAUCCGUUAUGUGACAUUUGGAAAUUAUCCUACAGACAAUCGCACCAGAUCUCUUGUUUUUUCUCUUUUCUUUUUGAAAUUCAGCAUAUUCAUGCAGGAUAAGACCAACACUA